AACAACAUGGACAGCCCACAAAGAAUAUCCAUUAAAGAACCUCAAGUAAUCCUCUCUCCAUGCAGCAGUGCUAGAAGGAGGAGGAGAACAAGCACUUGUUCAAACUCACCCGAAUUCGAGUUCUGGAUGGUCAGAAACCCAUCUUUCCCUCAACCAAAUCUUGUUUCUGCUGAUGAGCUCUUUGUUGAUGGUGUCCUCCUCCCUCUCCACCUCCUCCACCAACCCAACAACAACACUAACAACAGCCACCCUGACCCUGACCCUGACUCACCCGAACCCGAACCACCCAACGCUCAACCUGACCCUGGACCAGAAAUUUCACCAGCAAGCAUAACCAUAGAGCCAACCUCAAGCUCAAAGAGAUGGAAAGAUAUGAUAUUCAAGAAAGGUGACAAGAAAACUUCAACAGCAGCCAAGAAACAAGAAGAAAAGGAUAAGGACAGAGACAGAGACAAGAAGAGAGAGAAAAGGAGUCAGAGUGGAGCGAGUUCAGCUG
rnacentral:lncRNA from 1 species